rnacentral:pre_miRNA from 1 species
UAGUAGUCUUGUUGUUGAGGUAGUAGGUUAUGUUGUUGCGUGAAUUACAACACACAGGAGAUACAACAUGACUUACUCAUCUCUGCAGAAGGGCUACAGCUA